AGGUAUUUUCCAAGAUCUGCUAUUACAAAACAUGCUGCAAUAACCUCCUGUACAUGCCUCCUUGUGCUUUUACAUGAGUGUUUCCUUUGGAUAUAAACUUGGGUGUAGGAUUACUGGGAUGUAUGAAAUGCCCACUUUCAACUCAAAUAGAUAUUGAAAGAAUGUUAUCCAAAGUGGCUGGAUCAAUAUACUUCCACUAGAAGCAUGCAGGGCAGCCAGAAAUCUGCUUCCAACAUUUUCGUCUGGAAUGAUGCUGCUUUUCCAAUUUAUCAAGGUUCUACACCUGAGUUGCUAUUGAUGGGCUGCCAGGAUGAGACAGACAGACCUCCAGACAAUGAAAUUCCUCGGUAAUUACUGCAUUUACAUAGUAUGAUUAUUUCUGGUCAGAGAACACACUUUAAGGCAAUGGAUAUUGGUGGUAGAAAACCCUCAGACAGGAGACCUGCAUUGGCAACACCCAAAAACGUAUGCCACGCUCUGCACAACCUCCUCUCAAUGGGACAGCCAGAAAGUGUGCAGUGCCACAGUGCACAAGGUUAGCAGCUGGAAAAGAAAUCACGGCAAGCCAAGGCUGUGUUGCAAUCCAGUGAGGAGAGAAGGAUGUGAAGAUUCACAGUCCUGGAGAAACAAGUACUGUACUCUAAUAGGCACUGAGUUGAUACUGCUUAUUAUAAUUCAGUUUUUUGGGGAAGGUUCUGUCUUUAUAAUUCUGGUUGUUAAAGCUAGACGUGACUUAGGUGUGAAGGGAAGCUGUUGUGGUUAAGAGAAUGGGCUUUGAGAGAGACAAACCUAGGCUUGAGCCCUAGCUCUGGAACUCAAAGAGGCAAAAUUAUAUGGCGAAGGUCCCCAGAGGCGCUAUGAUUCAGUUUCCUCAACUGCAAAAUGCCAGUAACAAUAGGGUUUUCUUCAUAAAGUUCCUGUAAGGAUUGAGUUAUCUCAAGCAUGUAAAACACUUUUUACCAUAAGUGACAAUUCUUAAUGUUAGUUUUCAUUAAAUGAGAAUACAUCAGUAUUCUAGCCAGCCUUCAUAUAAUUCCAGACUCUUGAGCCCAAUUAUCUUAACCAGAUAAGAAAUUCAUUUGGCAGAACUAUAAAAAUUAUUCCCCAGAAGUUAUAACUAGAUUUAGGCUAUGACUAACAUUCCAAGCCCAUUACUUUCAUGAAAUAGAGAUCGUAAUGAGUGAUAUAGGAGGAAAGGGUAAGAGACUCUUAUAGUUGCCUAACUCAAGGAAUACACACUACCUCAACU